rnacentral:rRNA from 1 species
UAGGGAAUCUUCGGCAAUGGACGAAAGUCUGACCGAGCAACGCCGCGUGAGUGAAGAAGGUUUUCGGAUCGUAAAACCCUGUUGUUAGAGAAGAACAAGGACGUUAGUAACUGAACGUCCCCUGACGGUAUCUAACCAGAAAGCCACGGCUAACUACGUGCCAGCAGCCGCGGUAAUACGUAGGUGGCAAGCGUUGUCCGGAUUUAUUGGGCGUAAAGCGAGCGCAGGCGGUUUCUUAAGUCUGAUGUGAAAGCCCCCGGCUCAACCGGGGAGGGUUGUUGGAAACUGGGAGACUUGAGUGCAGAAGAGGAGAGUGGAAUUCCAUGUGUAGCGGUGAAAUGCGUAGAUAUAUGGAGGAACACCAGUGGCGAAGGCGGCUCUCUGGUCUGUAACUGACGCUGAGGCUCGAAAGCGUGGGGAGCAAACAGG